UCAAUCUCGUGCGGCUAUAUAUACCGCCGGUCCCUCUAAGAAGAUUUUCAUUGUACGCCGGUAGUGAAGACCGCGACGCGCCCGCGCCUCCGACGCGGAACGCCGAAGGGCACGAACGCGCGCGCGGACCCUCGUGAUACCGGUUGUACGUCUAUUUAAUAGGCUAGAGUUACGUUCGUUAC
rnacentral:rRNA from 1 species